rnacentral:rRNA from 1 species
CCUACGGGAGGCAGCAGUGAGGAAUAUUGGUCAAUGGACGAGAGUCUGAACCAGCCAAGUAGCGUGAAGGAUGACUGCCCUAUGGGUUGUAAACUUCUUUUAUAUGGGAAUAAAAUGUUCCACGUGUGGGAUUUUGUAUGUACCAUAUGAAUAAGGAUAGGCUAACUCCGUGCCAGCAGCCGCGGUAAUACGGAGGAUCCGAGCGUUAUCCGGAUUGAUUGGGUUUAAAGGGAGCGCAGGUGGAUUGUUAAGUUAGUUGUGAAAGUUUGCGGCUCAACCGUAAAAUUGCAGUUGAAACUGGCAGUCUUGAGUACAGUAGAGGUGGGCGGAAUUCGUGGUGUAGCGGUGAAAUGCUUAGAGAUCACGAAGAACUCCGAUUGCGAAGGCAGCUCACUGGACUGCAACUGACACUGAGGCUCGAAAGUGUGGGUAUCAAACAGGAUUAGAUACCCUAGUAGUC